rnacentral:lncRNA from 1 species
AGAGAAAAAAUCAUAAAAACAAAAUGAUUGCAAUCAUGUUUCUUGUUAAGGAAACCAUUCAAAAUUAAUAGUAAGGCGUCUUGUAAACAUAUGGUGGUGGGGAGCUGUAGACGUAUGGUUGGAGAUGGAGAGUAAUACGGUGGGGGUGGGGAGCUAUAGACGUAUGGUGGUGGUGGAGACUUGUAGUAAACCUUUGGAGAAGGAGAGUAGUACGGUGGAGGUGGGGAGCUGUAGACGUAUGGUGGUGGUGGAGACUUGUAAUAAACCUUUGGAGAAGGAGAGUAGUACGGUGGGGGUGGGGAGCUGUAGACGUAUGGUGGUGGUGGGGACUUGUAGUAAACCUUUGGAGAUGGAGAGUAGUACGGUGGGGGUGGGGAGCUGUAGACGUAUGGUGGUGGAGACUUGUAGUAAACCUUUGGAGAAGGAGAGUAAUACGGUGGGGGUGGGGAGCUGUAG